UGGGGAAUAUUGCACAAUGGGGGAAACCCUGAUGCAGCGACGCCGCGUGAACGAAGAAGGUAUUCGUAUCGUAAAGUUCUGUCCUAUGGGAAGAUAAUGACAGUACCAUAGAAGAAAGCUCCGGCUAAAUACGUGCCAGCAGCCGCGGUAAUACGUAUGGAGCGAGCGUUGUCCGGAAUUAUUGGGCGUAAAGGGUACGCAGGCGGUUUAAUAAGUCGAAUGUUAAAGAUCGGGGCUCAACCCCGCGAAGCAUUGGAACCUGAUAAACUUGAGUAGUGGAGAGGAAAGUGGAAUUCCUAGUGUAGUGGUGAAAUACGUAGAUAUUAGGAGGAAUACCAGUAGCGAAGGCGACUUUCUGGACACAAACUGACGCUGAGGUACGAAAGCGUGGGGAGCAAACAGG
rnacentral:rRNA from 1 species